rnacentral:rRNA from 1 species
GACGAACGCUGGCGGCGUGCUUAACACAUGCAAGUCGAGCGGUAAGGCCCUUUCGGGGGUACACGAGCGGCGAACGGGUGAGUAACACGUGGGUGACCUGCCCUUAGCUCUGGGAUAAGCCUGGGAAACUGGGUCUAAUACCGGAUAUGACUCCAUGACGCAUGUUGUGGGGUGGAAAGCCUUGUGCGGCUAGGGAUGGGCCCGNGGCCUAUCAGCUUGUUGGUGGGGUGAUGGGCCACCAAGGCGACGACGGGUAG